GAUGAAGAACGUAGCGAAAUGCGAUAAGUAAUGCGAAUUGCAGAAUUCAGUGAAUCAUCGAAUCUUUGAACGCACAUUGCGCCCGCUAGUAUUCUGGCGGGCAUGCCUGUCUGAGCGUCAUUUCAACCCUCGCCCCCGGCUUUUGCUGGGAGCGGUGUUGGGGAUCGGCCGCCCGUCACUGGGAGGCCGGCCCCGAAAUAGAGUGGCGACCACGCCGUGUGCUCCUCUGCGUAGUAGAAAUCACCUCGCAGGCGGACAGCGGUGCGGCCUGCCGUAAAACCCCCAACUCUUUCUGGUUGACCUCAGAUCAGGUAGGAAUACCCGCUGAACUUAAGCAUAUCAAUAAGCGGAGGA
rnacentral:misc_RNA from 1 species